AAUUGCUCGAAUGACGUAAUUGCUAAAUGCGCAUGCGCAUCGGCGAAAAAAGUCGCUUCGCGCGAAAAAAAUCGCUAGUGGAAAACCGGCUUUAAGCCCGUUCUCCACUACGCGAAUUUGUUCGCGCGACGCGAAGCGAAAACCGAAAUCCGGCAACGUGAUUGGUCGGCGAAAAAAUUCGCGGCGAAAAAGUAGGAUCGCUUCCUACUUUUUAUCUGUUCGCGCGAACAAAUUCGCCUAGUGGAAAACGGGCUUUAAUCUGUGCCGUUGGGAUUUGCUUCGACGAGGGAUACGGAUAAAAUACAAGCGUAAAACCUCGUUCGUUGCAGUAUAUUUUGAACAAAUAAACAAUUUAUUAGGAAAAUACGUUCAAGAAACGUCUCGUGCUGUACUAGCCUAAUUCUGGCAAACGUUAUUUACUUUCUUCACCUUCGUGUCGACGACUGUUGUUUGCUGAUGGCCAAAUCACGACAGCGGACAUCAAUUAUUCAAAAUAUGUUCUUAUAGCUUCACGUUUACGAUACGAAUGUAAGAUUAUUUAUUUUUUGUAUAUGUAGGUUUUAGUUGAAAGUAACAGCGACGAUGAAAAAAGUGCACACAACAUUGAAAUAUCAGUUCACUACUAGCUCAAAUCGUGCGACAUAUCACUUGCUAGUAGCCCAGUCUAGUUUAACUUUGCCCAAUCAAGAAUCAUCUCCUGAAUCAGGCAUACUGGCAACACUGGUUCAUUUGAUAAUGUAAGUUUUUAAACUGGUAUUUUAGAUUUAUAUAGCCUCUGUCAAAUCAGGAUGAAAGUCAUGCAUGAAUUGCUUAUCAAUACACAAAGGACAUUUCAAGUUCCAGAUGAACAAAAUAUUAUUAAAGCUUUGAUGAGUGUUCUGCAACUAUGUUUCAACUUUAAAAUACUCUCAUCCUCGUUUGACCCAUAAUUAUUUGUUGAUUUUACUCGAUACUAAAUAGUGAAACAUCGAAUCCAGAGAAAAUCUUUAUAUAUGCAGAACCCACUGUAAUUCCGAGCUGUAAUCACAUAAUUAUAUAAAAGUCGUUUCAGUAGCAGCAAAAGCCAAACUAAACACCAAUCUAGGAUUAAUAGGUUUAGCUUUUAGGCCGAGAAUAAUACACGAUUGACAAUUUUGUGGCUGAUUGAUUAAUUAAUUAAUAGUAUACUGUAUAUUGAUGUUGUUGUAUACAGGACAUCUGACUUACAUGUCAAAUUAAUAGUCGAAUCUAUGAUUAUAUUGAGCAUGGCAGAUUUGACAUUUGAAACAUUGUUGAUGUUAAUAACCC